UCUCCGUAGGUGAACCUGCGGAGGGAUCAUUACAGAGUCCUCGCCCUCGCGGGUAGAUCUCCCACCCACUGUUAUCGUUACUGUGUUGCUUUGGCGGGCCGCCGGGCCCCGCUCGGCCGCCGGCUCCGGCUGGCGCGCGCCCGCCAGAGGCCCAGCAAACUCUGAAUGUUAGUGUCGUCUGAGUACUAUAUAAUAGUUAAAACUUUCAACAACGGAUCUCUUGGUUCUG
rnacentral:misc_RNA from 1 species